GGAUCUGAGGGUUUUGUCGGUCCCUAGUGGUCGACUCCCUUUAAAAUCAUUAGCGGAUUUUGCCAUCGUGGAUACGCCUCGAUUUGAUAAUAUCUAUGUCGUCGCGCUGAAGCGGUAAUCUGCUCAUAACCGUCCUAAUUGUUGGACAAUUUUAUUGACUAUUUGACCUCAAAUCAGGUAGGACUACCCGCUGAACUUAA
rnacentral:misc_RNA from 1 species